GCCCGUCGAGCUCAGUGGUAGUAGCGUCGCACUUGUACUGUAACCCUAACCCGGGAGAUGCGAAGGUCAUUGGUUCAAUCCCAGUGUCGGGCA